UUAAUUAUGUACUUAUUUAUUUAAACAAUAUACGGGACUUAUAAAGUUAACACUUUUUUUAAAAUAAGUAAAACAUUAAAAUUCACAAUGUAUAAUAAUAGGAUACGAAAGAAAAAAAAUUUUUUUAAUAGAAAAAUGACAGAUGAUGACAGGAGAAGAAAAAAAUACCGGCUCUAAAAAGCGGAUGUGAAGAAACGGAAAUUAAUAUUUAUUUAAAAUGAUUUGCUAUUUUUUCGCGCGCUUUGACAUCGUGAUUAUGUGUUAUCUUUGUUUAAUCUAUUCGCUACAAAAAGACAGAGAUAGAUAUUGUUUAAAGACCAUUAAAGUUCGUUUCGUUCGUUUAUAAUCUUUAAAAAACUGUUAAAAGCUUAAGUUUAUAGUUGUUUUUUCCCCUCUUUUUAGUGAUCUGUGCCGUUUAUUUAUUGCAUCGAUAACAAACAGGUUUUAUCUCGCACAACAUUGUUAGAAUUUUAAUAUUUGCGGAAAUGCAUCUUUCGUAUAUGAAAAGUUCAAUUUUCCAAAGAGAAUUAUUAGAAAAAGUUGGUGACAAGUUAAUUCAAAAGCCAAAAUGAGUAGAAAUACGAUAAAUACUUGGUUCAAGUGCAGAAAAAAAUAAUAACUUGGAACAUAACCUACAAAUAUAUAGGGGCGAAUACUUGACGUUUCGAGAUUCUACUUCAUGUUCGCCGAUUUUAACGAUCAUUAACGAUUUUAACACUAAUUUUCAGUCUUUGAUUGAAAUUUCCUGGGUGUCAAGAAGAGAGAACAAUUUUUCACCGAAAUAUAAAUUUCCUGGAUGUAAAGAAGGAGACGAAACAAUUUUAUACCAAAACUGAAAUUUUCUGGAUGUAAAAAAAAUUAUCGAACAAUUUUACACUGAAACAAAAAAUUCCUGGGUGUAAAGAAGGUGGAGAGGAGAAAAAAAAGGGAAGAUGCUCUUGUUGGCGCACAGAGACGGUGUGUUGUGAGAUCAACCUCUGAUUCAGGCAGUCUCCAUUUUUUUUAUAAUAUAAUAUGCUUUUAUGUACAGGGGAUUUUCACGUGUUCUCUGCAGAUUCUUCGGUAAAUUUUCUCUUGUUUUUUGGAAUAAUAAUUACAAACCAAAUGUUCUAAAAAUACAUAGCAACUUAACUAAAUCACAGAUAGAUCCCGCCUGACCAAGAUUUAGACGUGAAAUUAAAAAAUUAAUCUAGUAUCUUUGAUUUCUUUAGGCUCGGGCGACUCUUUGUGGCCCCCUUGUAAUUUUUGAUCACUCAUUAAUUAGAUCUAUUUUCUUUUUCUACUAGAAUUUACUUUUAAACGUUUAUUUAUAUUUUCUCUCUUGCAAUUUCUCCAAAAAAUUGCCGAGAACAUUUCUCGGGGAAUGAUCAAAGUAAUUAUCCCAAUUUUUAUAAAGUCGACCAGAUUCGCCACUUUCAAAAUUUCAAAAUUUGUACAUUAAUUUUAAUUUUUAUAAUAGUUGAAAAAAAUCUUUUCUUUUUUGUUGUAACCGAAAAUUUUCACCAUGAUCAUACCCCGUAGUUUGAAUCUAAUUUUUCGUCAGACGAGCUCACAAUUAUUGACAAUAGUCUAUAUUUUUUAUGUUAAUUUGCAGAUAAGGUGUCCGCAUUUUUUUUGGAAACUUUUUUGCGUUACAAUUACUGAUAAUAAUCGGAAAAAGGAGAAAGAGAGUGAGAGGAGAAGUUUGCGAGUGCAAUCGCUUUAGGACUUUCAAAGAUGUCAGUCAUGUUUUUUCUAAAGUGCAAUCUGGACGUAGGAUAUAACGCUUUUUAUAUUUUCGCUAAUACAAUUUAGGAAUAGUGAUGACUCCGGAAUUUUUCUCGAAAUCAACACAUUCCGACAAAUAUACCCGAUUUUCGAAAAUUUACAGUCAUGGGUUGUAAACUAUAGAGAUGAUGAUGAUACCAUUUUUCCUGCAAGAUAUCCAAGAAUCCGUUGCUGGUGUAAUUGGCUAUUACUUUGGAAAUGGUUUCAGUGAGAGGAUGUCCUUUAGACAAGGCAAUGGCAUAUGUGU